rnacentral:rRNA from 1 species
GCCAGACUCCUACGGGAGGCAGCAGUGAGGAAUAUUGGUCAAUGGCCGAAGGGCUGAACCAGCCAAGCCGCGUGAAGGAAUAAGGCCCUACGGGUCGUAAACUUCUUUAGUCAGGGAACAAAGGGAGCCACGCGUGGCGCUGUGAGUGUACCUGAAGAAUAAGCAUCGGCUAACUACGUGCCAGCAGCCGCGGUAAUACGUAGGGGGCGAGCGUUAUCCGGAUUUACUGGGUGUAAAGGGAGCGUAGACGGUUCUGCAAGUCUGAAGUGAAAGCCCGUGGCUUAACCGCGGAACGGCUUUGGAAACUGUGGAACUGGAGUGCUGGAGAGGCAAGCGGAAUUCCUAGUGUAGCGGUGAAAUGCGUAGAUAUUAGGAGGAACACCAGUGGCGAAGGCGGCUUGCUGGACAGUAACUGACGUUGAGGCUCGAAAGCGUGGGGAGCAAACAGGAUUAGAUACCCCAGUAA